CCUACGGGAGGCAGCAGUGGGGAAUAUUGCACAAUGGGGGGAACCCUGAUGCAGCGACGCCGCGUGGGGGAGGAAGUCCUUCGGGAUGUAAAGCCCUAUCAGCAGGGAAGAAAAUGACGGUACCUGACUAAGAAGCCCCGGCUAACUACGUACCAGCAGCCGCGGUAAUACGGAGGGGGCAAGCGGUAUCCGGAUUUUCUGUGGGUAAAGGGGGCGUAGACGGCGUGGCAAGUCUGAUGGGAAAGGCCCGGGCUCAACCCCGGGACUGCAUUGGAAACUGGCAUGCUGGAGUGACGGAGGGGCAAGCGGAAUUCCUGGUGUAGCGGGGAAAUGCGUAGAUAUUAGGAGGAACACCGGUGGCGAAGGCGGCUUGCUGGACGGUAACUGACGUUGAGGCUCGAAAGCGUGGGGAGCAAAAAGGAUUAGAUACCCUUGUAGUC
rnacentral:rRNA from 1 species